AUUGAACGCUGGCGGCAGGCUUAACACAUGCAAGUCGAACGAGUGGCGGACGGGUGAGUAACGCCUGGGAACCUGCCCGAUGGAGGGGGAUAACUUUUGGAAACGGUAGCUAAUACCGCAUAUCAUCGGAUGUGCCCAUCGGGGAGUAGCUGGUUGGUGGGGUAAAGGCUCACCUAGGCGACGAUCCCUAGCUGGUCUGAGAGGAUGAGCAGCCACACUGUAACGGAGACACGGUCCAGACUCCUACGGGAGGCAGCAGUGGGGAAUUUUGGACAAUGGGCGAAAGCCUGAUCCAGCCAUGCCGCGUGUAUGAAGAAGGCCUUCGGGUUGUAAAGGACUUUUUGCAGGGAUGCGGUACCCGCAGAAGAAGCACCGGCUAACUACGUGCCAGCAGCCGCGGUAAUAC
rnacentral:rRNA from 1 species